GCAUUUGCUAAUUAAAAAAGAAAUGGGAUAAAGAGGAUGAAAAUUGUUUGAAACGAUAUCGUUAAAAGUAGCGAUUACAUAUUUUAAUCAACCUCGUAUUUCCUACGUAAAUCGUGUUACUACCAUCGUCAUGUAAAUUUUCCACGACACACAUACAUUACCAGAUAACUUGUCUCUCGUAUCUAGCCAACGAUUAAUCUCCGUAACGUGGCGAUUAAACCACGACUGUGAGUAGGCAAGAAUAUCGAUUCAAACGAAUCGGAUGCAAAACAUGGUGUGUACGAUGUUCGUGUGCGUGUGCACGAGCCGAGGAACAGUUAACCGUUAUGGGAAGGGAGAAAAACACGCGCUAACGAACUUCAUGUUGACCAAUAGUCGUGGCGCGUUCUUGUUCGACCUACACGUCCGAUAAAUGAAUUCUGGUAAAAUUUUUUAUCGUUAAAUUACCUCGACUUCACGAAAGUCAACAUGCAGAAGGGACAAGAGGGGAAUAACUACAGAUGGACGGGACACUCAAUAUACCAUAUAUUGCGCGAGCAUGUUUCACUGGUAUCUCGCAUUUCUUGGAACACACAGAAGAAGUUAGACGUUCUUCCUCACCAAGCUCAGGUCAUAUACAUUCGCUGGUUCCUUAAUUGCCAGCCAGGAGUGGUUUCUCGCUCGGGAGACAUACCGACUAGUCUCUUUCCAACCCAUACACUGACGAUGUGCUUCAUGCGACCUUCCGUACAAUCCAGUUUCACGAUCGUGGGACGAUCAGAAAAAAAAUCGCCUUGCGCAAGGGUUCGCUGCUCCGGCCGUCAGUUUAAAGUUUCUUAACGACCGGCGGAACUGGAUUUAAAGUGAACACUAUUUUACGAUCUUGUUAUAGGUGUAUCUUAGAUCUUUCAUUGUGUUUAUAAGAUGAUAGAUCGACCAGAUUACUUUAACUGGAUCUACCGACUACUAAAGUGUAAAACAUUUUCAAAAGAAAUCAAAAUGAAAGUUAUAUGAAAAAAUACGUAAAGUAAAUCCCUAAAAUUACUCGCCAAAUUUAUAAAAUUUGUAUAAAAAUUACAAAGUGAUAUUAAUGCGACUAUUGAGCAACGUUGAAGUUUGUUAGCGUAUGUUUUUUCUGAUAUUAAAAAAAUGUUCUACUGAUAUUAUUAUAAGAUUUUUUUACAGAAUAAUUAGUGACACAUAAAAAUUAUUGAUAAUAAGAAAUAUUAUUUUUAUGAACAAUGUAUAUUAUUGUUGAAUGUGAUAAAAAAGUAUCGCAUAAUGUUAGCGUGACGUCUCUGGGUUAGCGGGUUGAUGUCGAAUAAAAUGAAGACUUACACGCGGUCGUACUACGUGUAUAUGGUUGAUACGUAUACGAGAAGUAAUUGUCAGAAGUGACACGGCACGGGGGAGUAAAUCACGUCGGCAUUAAGACAAUUAGGUGUAGAACGACGGGUUCAGCCGAGUCAGUUGACGUGUCUUGGACAGAAACAGAUGUCUAAUAUGCCUUUUAUUUCGACUCCAUGGUCAGCCAUACAUGCACAUAUAAGUUAAACACUUAUUCGAACCACAGGACGUACGUAGGAUAAAUGCAUGGGCGUCGAUACGGAGCAUUAGAAAUGAGGAAUAAUGUGACACAUUGUAAUCAUGUUGCAUUUCACGAAUAAAUCGCUAGCGGCAACCAUGUGCAUGAUACUAUUGAGAGAGUGUGCGUGUAUGCAAAAGUCUGCCUGUGCUGCGGUCGUGCAAUUGUGCGAAGGAAAUGAGAUCAAGUUUGAGUGAUUGCGGACAGCAGUCGAACAGAGGCGGAGAGAGGCAGGGGAUGGAGAUAGGACAGUUCAAGAACCGAAUCUACAGAUUGCCAGCUGGAUAAACUGGAACAAACGAAAUACCAGAUUUCUGCGAGUAUCAAAUAUCAUCGUUUAUAAUUAUUGAUACAUAAAAUAUAAAGAUAUAUUA